rnacentral:lncRNA from 1 species
GAACCGAGGUGGGUAGCAGUAGUAGCUGCUUCAGAGUUAGAGGUAGCCCAGAGUUAGCCAAGCAGUGGCUACAGGUGAGUGGAACUAAACUUGCUGUUUUAAAUUGAGAAAUGACACGUUUCUAGCAUGAUCCAUGCAUCAUCAAAUGCCAUGUUAUGAAUUAGGUUGUGUUGCAUUAGAAUCCACGAAUAUGAUGCAUUGCAUAAGAUGAUAUUUGUGUGGAUGAAUGUUGGAUGAUCCUUAGCCCUUGAUAUGUGCAGAG